AACAAAAACAUGUCUUUUUGAAUUAAAUUUAAAGUCUAACCUGCCCACUGAAAUUUUAAAUGGCCGCAGUAUUCUAACUGUGCAAAGGUAGCAUAAUCAUUAGUCUUUUAAUUGAAGGCUGGAAUGAAUGGUUGGACGAAAUAUUAACUGUUUCAUUUAAAUUUUUAUAGAAUUUUAUUUUUUAGUCAAAAAGCUAAAAUUUAUUUAAAAGACGAGAAGACCCUAUAAAUCUUUAUAUUUUGUUUAUUUUAAUUAUAAAGAUUAUUUUUAUUAUAAUAAAUUAAAAUAUUUUAUUGGGGUGAUAUUAAAAUUUAAAAAACUUUUAAUUUUUAAAACCAUUAAUUUAUGAGUAAUUGAUCCAUUAAUAAUGAUUAAAAAUUUAAGUUACUUUAGGGAUAACAGCGUAAUUUUUUUGGAGAGUUCAUAUCGAUAAAAAAGAUUGCGACCUCGAUGUUGGAUUAAGAUAUAAUUUUGGGUGUAGCCGUUCAAAUUUUAAGUCUGUUCGACUUUUAAAUUCUUACGUGAUCUGAGUUCCAAACCGGA
rnacentral:rRNA from 1 species